UUCCCGCCCUCUAACUUCUAUCUCCACCGAUCCAAAUGAUCUCCUAGCCCUCACUCCCGGACAUUUCCUCAUUGGCGAUUCAUUAAUGUGCUUACGUGAUCGAGAUUUCAAGGACAUUCCAUCGAACCGACUCUCCAAAUGGCAGCAUAUCCAACAGCUUAAACAACAUUUUUGGAACCGCUGGCAUAAGGAGUAUUUGAACGAGCUAACCAACCGCAAUAAAUGGAGCAAGGGUGGACACAGCAUCCAAAAGGGCACAAUCGUCAUCCUCAGAGAGGACAACGUUCCCUCCAUGCAUUGGCCUCUGGGCCGAGUUAUCAAGAUUCAUCCAGGCGCCGAUGGUGUCAUCCGGACAGCUACAGUUCAGACGGCAAAGAGCAUUUUGGAUCGGGGCGUCAAAAGGCUUGUCCCACUGCCAAUUCAACCCGAUCUCGAGAAACCCGAACAACUAGCCACCGAGACGAAAUAAGAUGGGAACUUCAACCACACCUCCCUAGUUUGAUCGGUACCCUCUCAACGGGGGGAGAAUGUUACGCCAUGCGGCUUACCAUAGGUCAUAUUCUUAACUAUCGAUCGCGGCACUAUAAUGUCGCAGACGGAUCGUCGUGUCUGCCCGGCAAACAAACAUUGUAGUGGCAAGCGCAUGGUUCAUUAAGCAGGGCGACUUCCAGAAACGUCGACUCGUGGCCCGUAUUUUACCUCGCGUAAAAGAAUGUGGCGUGAUCCGAACGUAGUGGGGGUCGCCUUCCAGAAAAAACGAAAAAAAUCGAAAGGCGUUCAGAACUUUUCGAGAUGUCGAACCGUCAACACAUGUGGGCAAUCCGGUGGACUUGAUCGGCCUUUUACUUCGAAAGUUGAGUAAUCGGUGUCGCUUUCUUACGCAUCUUUGAACUGUAUAAAUGUUUUAAAAUUGUUUGAUCCAGAAUGUACCACACCGGACAAUCAAGAAGGCAGGUGCCUUGACUACAGAAAAUGUAAACCUCUGCAAGAAAUAUGGCAGAUACAGUACCGUACAGCCACCGAUUUUUAUAGACGAUCAGUGUGCAGAUACCAGGGCAAUGUUACGAUCGUUUGCUGUCCGAACGAUCCAAACAAAGAGAAGAGAGAAAUUUUAAUAAAAACUGUGUAUAAGUAUAAGGCUUUGCGACCACCAUACUGUGGUUUUAGCAACGUCUCUCAUACCAGGGUGGUCGAUGGUAAACCAGCUGAACUUGGUACGUUUUAUGUCUUUCUUUCCGAUUAAUAAUAAGCCAUUUACUGCAAAGAAUGAACUUUAAAGGCAUUAAACAGCACAUCAAUGAAGAGUAUCUUUUUGCUUGAAAUAAAAAAUUGAUAUAGGAGUAAUAAUAUGGAUAGAGAUCAAAAACUGUUAGGGCAGAAAUUACACGUUUGAACUUUAUAGUUCAGUAUAGUUCAA